AUUGAACGCUGGCGGCAGGCCUAACACAUGCAAGUCGAGCGGCAGCGGAAAGUAGCUUGCUACUUUGCCGGCGAGCGGCGGACGGGUGAGUAAUGUCUGGGAAACUGCCUGAUGGAGGGGGAUAACUACUGGAAACGGUAGCUAAUACCGCAUAACGUCGCAAGACCAAAGAGGGGGACCUUCGGGCCUCUUGCCAUCAGAUGUGCCCAGAUGGGAUUAGCUAGUAGGUGGGGUAACGGCUCACCUAGGCGACGAUCCCUAGCUGGUCUGAGAGGAUGACCAGCCAAACUGGAACUGAGACACGGUCCAGACUCCUACGGGAGGCGGCAGUGGGGAAUAUUGCACAAUGGGCGCAAGCCUGAUGCAGCCAUGCCGCGUGUAUGAAGAAGGCCUUCGGGUUGUAAAGUACUUUCAGCGGGGAGGAGGGUGUUGAGGUUAAUAACCUCAGCAAUUGACGCUACCCGCAGAAGAAGCACCGGCUAACUCCGUGCCAGCCGCCGCAGUAAAAC
rnacentral:rRNA from 1 species